rnacentral:rRNA from 1 species
UACAGAGGUCUCGAGCGUUAGGCGGAAUCACUGGGCUUAAAGCGUGUGUAGGCGGAUUGGUAAGUGCCUUGUGAAAUCCCACGGCUUAACCGUGGAACUGCUUGGUAUACUGCCUGUCUUGAGCCAGCUAGGGGCGACCGGAACAAAUGGUGGAGCGGUGAAAUGCGUAGAUAUCAUUUGGAACGCCAAUGGUGAAAACAGGUCGCUGGGGCUGUGCUGACGCUGAGACACGAAAGCCAGGGGAGCAAACGGG